AUUGAACGCUGGCGGAGUGCUUUACACAUGCAAGUCGAACGGUAGAGGGGGCAACCCCUCGAGAGUGGCGAACGGGUGAGUCAUAUAUCGGAACGUGCCCAGUCGUGGGGGAUAACGUAGCGAAAGUUACGCUAAUACCGCAUACGAUCUAAGGAUGAAAGCGGGGGAUCGCAAGACCUCGCGCGAUUGGAGCGGCCGAUAUCAGAUUAGGUAGUUGGUGGGGUAAAGGCUCACCAAGCCAACGAUCUGUAGCUGGUCUGAGAGGACGACCAGCCACACUGGAACUGAGACACGGUCCAGACUCCUACGGGAGGCAGCAGUGGGGAAUUUUGGACAAUGGACGCAAGUCUGAUCCAGCCAUUCCGCGUGCAGGAUGAAGGCCCUCGGGUUGUAAACUGCUUUUGUACGGAACGAAAAGGUCUCUCUUAAUACGGGGGACUCAUGACGGUACCGUAAGAAUAAGCACCGGCUAACUACGUGCCAGCCGCCGCCGUAA
rnacentral:rRNA from 1 species